rnacentral:lncRNA from 1 species
CCCCUUAUAGCUGAAACUGAUUUUAUCAGGCAUCUUUAUUUAUCUCCAAAAGUUUUAAUGGAUUUUUAAAGUCAGCUCCACUAAAGAAAAAUUACUGGUGAAAUAACAUUUUAGAAAGUGUUGCAUAAUAGUUAUCAUUUAAACAUUUUAUACAUCUAAGGGUCAUUACAUUCUAGUUUGAUGUAAGCAUUGUUCACUUUUGAGAUCCACACAUACCUGGAUAUCUAGAUGUAUUCCAGGCCAUAUGGAGUCUUACUUUAUUGAGACCAAGAUGCCUCCUGGGUAAGACUGAUUAUACUCUUUCGCCUACCGAGCUAAUUCUUACUUAAAUAUCAUGAUUCGGUUAGUCUGUUUCUCCAUUAAAAAAACUUCAUAACACUCCUUCCUCUUACCACAAUAACUUCAGACAGCCAUCCUUCAUGCUCCUACAGCACCUGGUAUAUUUUAAGAUGCACACAUUAUAUUUUAAUUAUUUCCUUACUAGUCUGCCUCAGGAGGCUCCUUAGUAUAAGGUCUGGAGUCAAACACUUAUACCUUCAGCAUUUAUGAGUUGAGCAAUGAUUGUGUGCCAAAUUGGACUCUUCCACCAUCAAAUAGUUAUAUAAAUUUGGCAAACUACUUAAUACCACCUGAAGUUUCACUUUUCUCAUCUGUAAAAUUAAAAUAUUAACUGUACAUAUACCACAGGUUAUGGUGAGGGUUAUGUAAUGCAGAAUAUGCUUCAUUAAUGUUGGCUAUCAUUAUAUUUCUCUUAUCAUAAACAAAUUAAGCUUAUAUGAUCAUUUAAAUAAACUUAGAAGGAAAAGGCUUAAGAUUACCUGGUGUUUAUAGAAAAAAGAGAUGCUUUGAUUUUUUUUUAAUAGAGAAGAAAAAAUGUUCUUAAACACUUACCAAAUCAGAACUACAGGUAGAGUUCAUUGAAAAAAAGCUGCUAUUCUUCUCAAUCUUACAUUACUGUCAUAUCAAUCUUCUAAAAACGUAGUUUUCAUUUCAAUAUCUUGUUAAACUUUUAAUGGUACUCCAUAUAUCUUAUAUAACUUAAUAUAAACAUCUUAACUUUGUAAAAAUAUACACAUUAUAGAGAUAUCAAAAUAAUAUAUAUCUGGUAACAUUUACAUUCACACUUAGUAAAAGUAUGUUUCCAGAGAUGCCAAAAAAUAUGUGAAAUUAUCAAACAUGAUUAAGUCAAAUUAAGCCUUUUCUCCUCAUAUGUAAUUAAUUUGUACAGCAAAAACAUACUAUUAUUAACUUUCCUCUCCAAAAGAUUAUUCCAAUAAAUGCACAAUUUCCUUUUAUUAUAUUAAUAUUUCUUUAUACAUACCACACAAAGCUCAAAUAAAAUGAUUCCAAGAGACCAUACAUCUGAUUUGGGGCCAGAAGGCAAUGGUUUUUUACUUGGCAUGUGAUCAGUGGUUUUGAAAAUUCCCUGUGCAAUUACCUCAGGGGCCAAGUACGAGGGAUACCUUUUAGUUUCUCUUUGGGAAAAUGCAGGCUCUUUGUAGGUGUUUGUUCUUCUCUACAUACAUUUUAAAACUAUCUUGCCAAGUAUCUUCUCUUUCACAUACUGAAUUUUUAUUGAAAAUAGAUAAGAUAUAAAGACAGGUUGUAGAGAACUAACAUCUUUACAAUACUAACCCUAACAAUCUAUAAACAUGAUAUCUCCAUAUUUAUUUAGGUCUUCUAUAAUGUCUCUCAAAAAGAUUUAUAUUUUUUCCAUAAAGGAACAUAUCACGGGAUUUUGUGGUGUCACUUUGUCAGGUGGAAACCUCUGUGGCCAGUGGUGCCUUUGCCUGAGUUUUGCUGGGACCCACUGGGCCCGUUCCAUCCACUUGGACUGGCAGGCUGUGCUCAGCUCGUGCUACUGGCCUGGAUGCCACGCGGCCAAGGGAGAGCCAGGCAUGGCGUGGCAAGGGGUGUAUGAGUGAGUGUGGGGUCUGGCCACUGUGCACAGCCAGGCACACUGGCUGUGGCAUGGCAAGCAGGUCCAGGUGCUGGCAUAGGCACUGGCUUCCUGCAAGGCUGUGGUUGGACCAGGUGCGUUGCAAGCAGCUUCCAUGGCUGGCACCAGGGAACAUGGUUGUGCCCGGAAACUUGGAGAUGCCAGGAACUGCAGAGCCCCAAAGAGAGUGUCACAGCCCUGGCUCAGAAAGUUCCUAGGUCUGGGCUCCCCAAAGGGCUGCAGCUCCUCUCUCCUUCUGUCUUCUUUCCUUGCCACCCGCAAUGUGGCAAGCAAGGGGUUGUUUCAGCCCUGUUUGUUAUAGCUGUUUUAGCUCUGACAUUUGGCAGGUCCCAAAUUCUUGUCCUGCAUCCAAGAAGAAUAAGGUACAUGGACAAGUGAAGGGUGAGCAAGGUGAAGAGAUUUAUUGAGCUAUAGAACACCUAAAGAGACCCACAGUGGGUAGUUCCUCUCCACUGGCAGGGUGUCCCAAGGAGUGUCCAACACUCAGCUGAGAGGAGACCCUAGGGUGGAUAGCUUUUCCCCUCAGGUGGGGUGUCCCUAUGAGCAUUCAGCCCUCAGCAGAGAGAAGACCCUGGGGUGGGUAGCUCCUCUCUACAGCUGGCCAUCCAUCAUCUGCUCAAGUCUGGCUGAGUCCAGGGUUUUUAUGGUCCUCAGAGGGAAGAAGUGCACGUCCAUUGGUCCAUGGGCGGCCAUGGGUGGGCCCAGAAAAAGCACCACAAGUUCCCACUCAGGUCCACGGGACCUGCAGCCCAUCUCCCAUGCUUCAGGCCCUCCUGGGCUUGAAGGCAGGGCUUCACCAGGGACCUGCCCCCUUCUACCCAGGAACCUGUCUGACUCCUGUCACUCUUCAUGGUGCCCAGGCUAUUCGUGCCACGGAGCGCCUGCCC